AAAGAUAAAGAGAAUAACUUCUAUUUUAAAAAAUUAAUUAUUUAUUUACAAACCAAUUACACUAUUUAAAAAGUAGACAAAAAAUAUCCUUUGCAAACGAGAAAGGCUUUCGGUAGUUGUACCGAUAAUUUUCCAAUCGAUGGCUACGCAGCUCCCUGGGAUGUUGCUAAACAGCUCCAGCCUAACACUCGCCGGUGGCUGGUCACUUAAUUGUCGGAAGAGUCAACCGCCGGCAGCUAUCUCCUCUGCGCUUCCUCCUUCUCUCUCUUCAUCCUCAAUUCAGGUAACAUUAAUUUAUUUUUAACUGUGUUACAUUUACGCAGGCACAGUGGCUUAAAAACCUCAAAAUAAUUUUACUUUGAAGCGUCGUAAUUACUUCUUGUUUUAUAUCUCUUUGUAGUGCUGCAAUGGCAGCUUACAGUUACUUAAUGCAUUUUAUAAAAAAAUCGUUUCACUUAUUACCUCUAUGUUUAAGUUAUGGAAUAAUCUAGUUAAAAGUAAAAGCUGCUUAAAUCCUCGAAUAGUAUUAGUGACCAACAAAUUCAGUUGGAGGAAGCACUACUGAGAACUGGAUAAGGUGAGUGUGAAAAUAGUUGUUUUUUGAGAUGGAAUGUGCAAAUAGUUGCUGAAGCUAAUUGAAUCAGGCAGAGGCAGAUCCAGCAAGCUCAAGUUAAUAUGCAAUAAUAAUUGGGUUCAUAAUCAAAUGUUUGGUGAAUUUCUUAAUACAUAUACAGCAACUGGGUUUGCGUGAACCCAUAAGUUACAUGGUAAAUGCGCAAAUAUGUUGUAGGGGAAUGUUAUUGGAUUUCAAUCAAUUGAAGUUGAGGCAAGCCUAUAAUAACAUACCUCUGCUGUAAGGUUGAAUCUGUGUAUCCACCGAGGUCCAGUUAGGUAGGUUCCAUAGGCCGAUUCUUUUGGGCCUAAGAGUGAAGGUAUCAUAAAGAUACUGAGCUGCUGAAUACAGUGUGACUUAAAGGUGAACAAGCAUGAGAUAACUCGAGCCCAAAGACAGAGUUAGCUAAUGUCGGGAAAGAAAUAUAACGGUGAACGAAGGAAAGACAUCAGUAUUUGGGACGCCAUGUCUAUUCUCUAUGCCAGCUUUAAUGAACCAAAUCUCUUGGCUCCUUUUAUUUACUCAAGGAUCAGUCAGCAUUAUGUUCUUUUCUAACUCAUGGGCGCAAGGCAAUUUCCUAUGUGGUUGUUUUGAAGCUGAGCUUAGACUUUGGGAUUAUAGUAAUUUCCCUAAUGGUAUGUUAUUUCUAGAGCGCACUAGAGUGAGACUAGUCAGUUAGGAGUUAGUCUUAAGAUGCUAGUGGUCAUCUACUGAUGCAGGGUUUUAUCUAUUAAGGAGCUCAGCAAGCAGAAACAUCAUCAACAACAGUGAAAUCACAGUUUCUCGGUAGUCCCAGCUACCAAAACUUUCAGAACUAAGCCGACAUGGUUCCUUUAUAGCCAAGGAUAUGUAGGCAACCUCUAAAACAAGCUUCAGUCAAUCUUUCUCAAAAUGCUUCCAAAUGGAGCUUCAAACGGGCAAAAAUUGCUCCUAAUUGCUCACUUUAUCUUUGCUCCAAAACUUUUCAUGUUUUCGAGCAAAGAGGGGCAGUUGUGAGCACCUAGUAUUUGACCUACAUGAAAAUAACUCCUAAAAAAAAACAAGAAUAAUUUUAAUGAAUUCUAGGAGUUUUUCUUUAUUUAGUUGCAUUUCAUACAUUUUUAAUAUUUUAAAAUCAUAGAAAAAUAAUAAAAUAUUAUCAAGUUUUAAUUUCAUGCCAUCUUAGGUUCAAUUUGCAUAUACGAAUUAAUUUCACUAAGCAAAAAUAAAAAGGUCAUUUUUACAUAUUUAGAUUUUCGUCUUUAAAAUUAAUAUUUUUCUUUAAUUUUAAUUUAUUAGUUAUUUUAAUAUUAACAAUAAAUAAAGAAUUUUAAUUUCUAUAAAAAUAGAUUAAUUUAGGAUUUUAAUUAAUUUAAUUAAACUUUAAAACCAAAGAAAAGAAAAGAAAAGAAAAGGAAUACGAAAGGGAAUUGAAAAGACUUGGUCUUAAAUUCAAUUUGGGUCAAUUGAUGUUGAAGCCCAAAUUUUUGCCCCAAAGCCACCCGCCCAACUCCCUAAAUUCGGCUGACCCGCCCAAUAUACCUUUUAAUCUCCACCCUUAAUCCCAUCUAACCCAACAACCAUUAUUAAUUCCCACCACCAUAUAAAAACCUAAUUAUAACACCCGUAAAGCCCUAAACCUAAUUCCCCAUCUCCCAAACGGCAUUUCUUUGUGUUUUUCUUUCUUUUUUAUACCUUUCAUAAAUUCAUAGAGGAAUUCCGUAUAUUUUCACAUCUAGGAUUUACAUAUACAACAUAUACCACUGUCAAGGGGGAGAUUCAUAGAGGAAUUCCGUAUAUUUUCACAUCUAGGAUUUACAUAUACAACAUAUACCACUGUUAAGGGGGAAGUUCUUAUUAUUUAGGUUAGUUAGUUAUUUCCAUUUCAAAAAAAAAGUAAAAAAGAAAAAUUGGGUUGUGCUAUAUAUAUAUAUGAAAGAGUAUACAAUAAUGAUGUAUUUGGCAAAUCAAAUACCAUGGUCUAAUAAUCAAACAUUCUGAUUAGUUGAUAAUAUUAGUAUUAGUUGGAAAUUUUAUGAAAGAUUCCUGUGAAAAGUUUCAUUAACGCGGAAUUUGUGUCGAGUAGACCUUGUUGUUGUGAGAAUUCCAGCCUCACUCUUCCUCCACCUUCUUCCGCGCCAAAACCGCCCAUAUUCACCGGAAAAUUUCCUCUUACCAUCACAUGGUCUCUCCUCUCAUUCCCUUCCACGUGGACUAAUAAAUAACGAAUUGUGUACAAAUCGAAUCGUACUACUUCUCCCUUACGCGCUCAUCUUAUCCGAAAUAAAUUUAAAGACGAGAUUAGGAUGAAUGGGAGGCGUAAGAUUGAGUCUCACUCGAUCUACUCCCUCCACUUGUCUUUUACUCGUUUCAAGAGAUAGAAUUUCAGAUUUUCCAGAAAGGGUAAGAUUUUUCAUGACUUGGAAAAAAGAUAGAAGCUUCUGGAGCUUCUAUAUAUUGAGUGUCGUCUUGCUUUAGGGACAAAUUUGUUUUGGGGGAGGGAAAAAUUCUAGGGCUUGGAGAGUCUUCAGAUUUUGGGUCUAAUUUCUCUUUUUUCUAUUAUUUUUACCAGCAAAAAAUAAGAAAAGAAAAAUUUGUUUCAAUCAUCUUUUUUUUGAUUUUUUUGUUCUUAAGCAUAUAGUGAUUUUGAACUUUGAAUUUAUGCUCGAGUUUGGUUUAAACUAAGCUUGCCGUUUGAAAUAUUUGCUAAUUUGGUUUAAUCUUGAUUCUAGAUUUAAUUGGAAUGGAUUCUACUUUUGCUGCUGACCUGCUGUGAGCUCAUUUAGUAGCUGAUUUCUUUAUCUUUAUUUGGCAAAGGUUCAGUUUCAUUUUCAAGCUUGUGUACACAUUUAUAACUUGUAUUCUAUUUUGAUUUGUAUUGAAAUGUGAUCUGUCUGUUGCAGUUUGUUAAGCCUGUUGCUUGUUGGUUCUUUUUUGAACAUAGCUUGAAUGUUUGGUUUUGACAUAGCAAUUACAUGAAGUUUGGUUGUAGAUGGAAUGUGCUUUAGUAGUGAUGUACGAUUUGAACGUUUUGCAUUUCACCUAUUUCCACAAAAAUUCAAUAUAUGUACUGUUCAUAUUAUCAUAUGUUGCCUAGUUUGAGUAUUCAUUACCGAAGCUUAACAACAACAACAACAACAACUACCCAGUAUACUCCCACCAGGUGGGGUCUGGGGAGGGNNN
rnacentral:lncRNA from 1 species